GUGGAGCUUGCUCCAUGAUUCAGCGGCGGACGGGUGAGUAAUGCCUAGGAAUCUGCCUGGUAGUGGGGGACAACGUUUCGAAAGGAACGCUAAUACCGCAUACGUCCUACGGGAGAAAGCAGGGGACCUUCGGGCCUUGCGCUAUCAGAUGAGCCUAGGUCGGAUUAGCUAGUUGGUGGGGUAAAGGCCUACCAAGGCGACGAUCCGUAACUGGUCUGAGAGGAUGAUCAGUCACACUGGAACUGAGACACGGUCCAGACUCCUACGGGAGGCAGCAGUGGGGAAUAUUGGACAAUGGGCGAAAGCCUGAUCCAGCCAUGCCGCGUGUGUGAAGAAGGUCUUCGGAUUGUAAAGCACUUUAAGUUGGGAGGAAGGGCAGUAAGUUAAUACCUUGCUGUUUUGACGUUACCAACAGAAUAAGCACCGGCUAACUUCGUGCCAGCAGCCGCGGUAAUACGAAGGGUGCAAGCGUUAAUCGGAAUUACUGGGCGUAAAGCGCGCGUAGGUGGUUUGGUAAGAUGGAUGUGAAAUCCCCGGGCUCAACCUGGGAACUGCAUCCAUAACUGCCUGACUAGAGUACGGUAGAGGGUGGGUGGAAUUUCCUGUGUAGCGGUGAAAUGCGUAGAUAUAG
rnacentral:rRNA from 1 species